rnacentral:rRNA from 1 species
UACGGCUCAGUAACACGUAGUUAACUUAUCCUUAAGUCAGGGAUAACCUCGGGAAACUGAGGGUAAUACCUGAUAGAAAAUAAUUUCUGGAAUGAUUUAUUUUUGAAAUUCGAGCUUAAGGAGAGGACUGCGGCUGAUUAGGUUGUUGUUGGUGUAAUAGACUAACAAGCCGAUGAUCAGUAAGGGCUCUUAGCGGAGAAGCCCUGAGAAGGAAUCUGAGACACUAUUCCUAGUCCUACGGGGUGCAGCAGCCGAGGAAAUUUUACAAUGCUCGAAAGAGUGAUAGAAUAAACCAGAGUGUUUCUCUUAGAGGAACUUUUGUUUGCUGUAAAAAGGCAGACGAAUAAGGACUGGGCAAGACCGGUGCCAGCCGCCGCGGUAAUACCGGCGGUCCAAGUCGCAUCCACAUUUAUUGGGUCUAAAACAUUCGUAGCUUGUCUUGUAAGUUUCUUGUGAAAUCUCAUAUCUCAAGUAUGAGGCGUGCAAGAAAUACUGCAUUACUAGAGACCGGAAGACGCAAAGAGUAUGAUUAAGGUAGCGGUAAAAUGUGUUAAUCUUAAUCAGACUAACAAUGGCGAAGGCACUUUGCGAGUACGGAUCUGACAGUGAGGGAUGAAGGCUAGGGGCGCAAAAGGGAUUAGAUACCCCUGUAGUCCUAGCAGUAAACACUGCUCACUAAACAUUAGUACCUCUUCGAGAGGUAUUAGUGCUGUAGGGAAGCCGAAGAGUGAGCUACCUGGGAAGUAUAGUCGCAAGGCCGAAACUUAAAGGAAUUGGCGGGGGAGCAC